rnacentral:rRNA from 1 species
GACGAACGCUGGCGGCGUGCCUAAUACAUGCAAGUCGAACGAGUGGCGGACGGGUGAGUAACACGUGGGAACCUACCCAUCAGAGGGGGAUAACUACUGGAAACGGUGGCUAAUACCGCAUACUAUCGGUUGAACCCAGAGGGGAUUAGCUAGUAGGUGGGGUAAAGGGUAACCUAGGCGACGCUCUCUAGCUGGUCUGAGAGGAUGAUGAGCAACACUUGGACUUAGACACGGCCCCGCUUCUUACGGGAGGCACAGUUGGGGAAUAUUGCACAAUGGGCGCAAGCGUGAUGCAGCAAUGCCGCGUGUAUGAAGAAGGCCUUAGGGUUGUAAAGUACUUUCAGCGGGGAGGCGUUACCCGAAGAAGAAGCACCGGCUAACUCCGUGCCAGCAGCCGCGGUAAUAC